rnacentral:rRNA from 1 species
AUUGAACGCUGGCGACAUGCCUUACACAUGCAAGUCGAACGGCAGCACGGGUGCUUGCACCUGGUGGCGUGUGGCGAACGGGUGAGUAAUACAUCGGAACAUGUCCUGUAGUGGGGGAUAGCCCGGCGAAAGCCGGAUUAAUACCGCAUACGAUCUACGGAUGAAAGCGGGGGACCUUCGGGCCUCGCGCUAUAGGGUUGGCCGAUGGCUGAUUAGCUAGUUGGUGGGGUAAAGGCCUACCAAGGCGACGAUCAGUAGCUGGUCUGAGAGGACGACCAGCCACAAUGGGACGGGAACACGGCCCAGACACCCACGGGAGGGAGGAGUGGGGAAUUUUGGAAAAAGGGGGAAAGGCUGAACCAAGAAUGCCGGGGGUGGGAAGAAGGCCUUCGGGUUGGAAAGCAGUUUUGUCCGGAAAAAAAACCUUGGCCCUAAUACGGGCGGGGGAAGAAGGGACCGGAAGAAAAAACAACGGGUAACUACGG